GAUGAAGAACGUAGCGAAAUGCGAUAAUUAAUGUGAAUUACAGAAUUCAGUGAAUCAUCGAAUCUUUGAACGCAUCUUGCGCUCCUUGGUAUUCCGAGGAGCAUGCCUGUUUGAGUGUCAUUAAAGUUCUCAACCACAUUACUACAUAUGUGGCUUGGAUGUGGGGGUUUGCAGGCUUUCUCUGAGGGUCUGCUCCUCUGAAAUGCAUUAGUGGUAUUCCUGAGCUUUACUACAGAUGUGAUAAUUUAUCUACAUCCCAAAAGUAUGCUUCAGCAACACCGCUCCUAACAAGCGAAAGCACAUUUUGAUGAAUUUGACCUCAAAUCAGGUAGGACUACCCGCUGAACUUAAGCAUAUCAAUAAGCGGAGGA
rnacentral:misc_RNA from 1 species